UACAGAGGGUGCGAGCGUUAAUCGGAAUUACUGGGCGUAAAGCGUGCGUAGACGGUUAUUUAAGUCGGGUGUGAAAGCCCCGGGCUCAACCUGGGAAUUGCAUUCGAGACUGAAUAGCUAGGGUACGGUAGAGGGAAGCGGAAUUUCCGGUGUAGCGGUGAAAUGCGUAGAUAUCGGAAGGAACAUCAGUGGCGAAAGCGGCUUCCUGGACCAGCACUGACACUGAGGCACGAAAGCGUGGGGAGCAAACAGG
rnacentral:rRNA from 1 species